rnacentral:lncRNA from 1 species
CUUGCGCGCGCACUGCGAAUGUCGUCAUGUAUACAAGCCGACCGCGACACCCUGCGCAUGCUAACACGUGGAGGCUUAUGCUUGUAAUCCCACACGCGCCGUAGGUAAAUGAUGUCCUCAGCUGAUUGUCAAAUGCUAAUGUAUUCUUGCUCCUCCAAGAGUUAUCGGCAUCAUUAACAUAUGUGCUUCGACAGAUGGAAAGGCUGGACGGCUGUACAACGAGCGCCAAGUUGAAGUUCGCUGUCUCAAGGAAAUAUGGCGAGUAUAAUGCUCUGUGAACUCGGAUGACAUUAUGCUGAACCUUUGCCUCCUGAACUUCACUUCGGUCCCACUCCACUUCACAACCGCGAGGAACGUCUGUCGAGAGGAGCCCCUGGAUGAACUCUGCGGAAAGUGCACGCCGAGGAACAAGAAAAAAAUUAUUUGACUAUUUUUUAUCCUAUAUUUUUCUUAGAUGAACACGGAAUGGUGUUAUGUCACACUGGCCAUUCUAAGUAAUUUAAUAAGUAAUAAGUAUUAUCAUUUAUUACUAAUUAUCGUCAUGUUUUUUUUCCAAAUCGUAUUGCUCUAAAAUAAUCUGAAACAAUCUCGGCUUGUCUCACGUGAUGAGAGAAAAGAUGUGCAGGUGAAAAGUGCGUCACCUGCCCGGCACACUCAGGGGGACGGAAGCUUUCCGGCGAAUGCCUCUAGAAAAGGCGAUUGAGUGUUUUCUCGCCAGAGUAAAGGAACAAAGCUUGUCAUAUAUAUGUAUAUGUGUGUGUGUGUACAUAUAUAUACAAGAGUAUGUAAACACACACACUCACACAUAUAUAUUUUUAUAGGCCUAUGUGAGAAAUGCAGUGCAACAGCGCAGUACAGCGCUUACAUGUUGUUAAAUACGGAGAGAAAUGAGCAAUGGGUGGUCUAGUCUGGUAGCCAUGGGUUAUGUGAAUGUGUAUAGUUCAUGUUGAAAGGAAAAUUGGGUUAGAAAGUGAAGGAAUAAGUGAAAAAAAGAUAAUGUGGCUUUGUGAACUGGGACGUGAGAGAAAAGGUAAAGGAGGCGAGAAGUGACCGCGAAUCCUGUAUUUUAAGCGUGAGUACAGUUCUGUUUUUGUUUGUUUAAUGAGUAACAACUGAGAUCAGUUGAGAAAAAUGAAGUUAGCGGAAGCAGUAGUCAGAACUGAGGCUCUUGAAGCCAAGGUAGACAACAUGGUAGCAGAAACCCUGAAAAUACGUGACGAAAAUGUAAAUCUGAAUGAAUUGGUAGAACAUGUGCGCAGAAACACAACUAAUCAGAGAGAAAAUAUGGAAAAAAAUCUGACAUGAAAAUCAAAGAAUUCAAGGAAAUGUUGGAAGCAGAACCAAGAUUGGUAAUGGUACUGAAGCUGAAGUAAAGAAUCUACAGGAAAAAGUUGAGGAGGUAAUUAAAGUACAAGAAACUGUUAAGCAGAUCGAAAGUAAUUUGUCAAGCAGCCAAGCUCAAAUAAUGGAAGAGGCAAAAAAGAUGACAGAUACAUAUACUGAUGAAACAUUAAAUGAAAUGGGAAAAAGAUAGAAAAAAAUCAUCAUCACAAAAGAAGACAUUAAGACAGCUUGCAGAGACGGCAAAGAAGAAUGAAUUCAGAUCCCACCUUGGGCAACUUGCAAGAAAUAUUGAUAAUUUGGCUGAUGUAAAUAAGGACAGUCAUGUUGGGACAUGAAGAAAAAAGUUGUAGAAAGUCCUGGGCACCCACGAAGAAUAUAAAGAAAUCUGGAAAAAAAUAUGACCAAAGAUGACAGAGAAGCCCUACAAAAAAUUGGAACAAAAAUGAACAAAGGACUGAAAAAAAAAAAAAAAAAAAAUUUGGAGGGUAAGUGAUCUCCAAGCAAAGCAAAUAUAUUAUCGGAGCCAAAAUGUAGAGAUAGACAAACAUUAACCCUGAAGACGGACGGAAUACCGAAAGAUUAUAGAGUCUAUACAGAUAUUGAUGGUUUAACUUCGAAGUUGCAAGAACUAGAGACAAUAAAUGAAAUGAAUAAACCAAA